rnacentral:rRNA from 1 species
UACGUAGGGGGCAAGCGUUGUCCGGAUUUAUUGGGCGUAAAGAGCGUGUAGGCGGCCAGGCAGGUCCGUUGUGAAAACUGAAGGCUCAACCUUCAGAGGUCGAUGGAAACCGCCUGGCUAGAGUCCGGAAGAGGAGAGUGGAAUUCCUGGUGUAGCGGUGAAAUGCGCAGAUAUCAGGAAGAACACCCGUGGCGAAGGCGGCCCUCUGGGACGGUACUGACGCUGAGACGAGAAAGCGUGGGGAGCGAACAGG